AUGCUAAAGCUUCAACUGUGGUUCGUAAAAGCAAUAAGAACCUAUACACCUCCUGAACAAGUUAAAGGUGAACCUAAUAUUGCUAUUGUUAAAGAUCUCUUGUCUGAUAAUAUUGAUGGGCAUGUUAUUUAUUUCUGUGAUGAAACUGCUAGAAUUGCUAAACCAUGUGCUAAAGAUAAACAUAGACCUGUGGUAGGCAUGCCUGUUAUUUCUGUUAAAAUAGGAGAUCAUUGUUAUCAUGGCUUAUGUGAUAUGGGUGCUAGUGCUAGUGCAAUACCCUUUGACUUAUAUAAAGAAAUUAUGCAUGACGUUGCACCCGCUGAGUUAGAAGAAAUUGAUGUCACAAUUAAGCUUGCCAAUAGAGAUACUAUUUCACCUAUGGGGAUUGUUAGAGAUGUUGAAGUCUUGUGUGGGAAAACUAAAUAUCCUGCUGAUUUUCUUGUUCUUGGUUCCCCACAAGAUAGCUUUUGUCCCAUUAUAUUUGGUAGACCCUUCUUAAACACUGUUAAUGCUAAGAUACACUGUGAAAAGGAUGUUGUUACAAUUGGUCUAGGUGAUAUGUCUCAUGAGUUUAACUUUUCUAAAUUUUGUAGACAACACCGUGAAGAGGAAUUGCCUAGUAAAGAUGAAAUUAUUGGUCUUGCUUCUAUUGCUAUGCCUCCUAAUGAUCCUUUAGAACAAUAUUUGCUAGACCAUGGAAAUGAUAUGUUUAUGAAUGAAAGAAGGGAAAUAGAUGAAAUAUUCUUUAAACAGGGACCUAUUCUGAAACACAACUUGCCUGUUGAAAUCCUAGGGGACCCCCCUCCACCCAAGGGUGAUCCCGUGUUUGAGCUCAAACCAUUACCCGAUACUCUUAAAUAUGCUUAUCUUGAUGAAAAGAAUAUAUAUCAUGUUAUUAUUAGUGCUAACCUUUCAGAGAAGGAGGAAGAAAAAUUAUUGAAAACUCUGAAGAAGCACCGUGCUGCUAUUGGAUACUCUUGA
rnacentral:rRNA from 1 species